UACGUAGGGUGCAAGCGUUGUCCGGAAUUAUUGGGCGUAAGGAGCUCGUAGGCGGUUUGUCGCGUCUGCUGUGAAAACUCGGGGCUUAACCCCGGGCCUGCAGUGGGUACGGGCAGACUAGAGUGCGGUAGGGGAGACUGGAAUUCCUGGUGUAGCGGUGAAAUGCGCAGAUAUCGGGAGGAACACCGGUGGCGAAGGCGGGUCUCUGGGCCGUAACUGACGCUGAGGAGCGAAAGCGUGGGGAGCGAACAGG
rnacentral:rRNA from 1 species